rnacentral:rRNA from 1 species
AUUGAACGCUGGCGGCAGGCCUAACCCAUGCAAGUCGAGCGGAGCGGCGGACGGGUGAGUAAUGCCUAGGACUCUGCCUGGUAGUGGGGGAUCACGUCCGGAAACGGGCGCUAAUACCGCAUACUAUCAAAUGAGCCUCGGUCGGAUUGGCUUGUUGGUGGGGUAAAGGCCUACCAAGGCGACGAUCCGUAACUGGUCUGAGAGGAUGAUCAGUCACACUGGAACUGAGACACGGUCCAGAGGCCUACGGGAGGCAGCAGUGGGGAAUAGUGGGCAAUGGGCGAAAGCCUGUGCCAGCCAUGCCGCGUGUGUGAAGAAGGUCUUCGGAUUGUAAAGCACUUUAAGUUGGGAGGCGUUACCAACAGAAUAAGCACCGGCUAACUUCGUGCCAGCCGCCGCGGUAAUAC